UCUUCAACCCUCCGAGCCUUUUCUUCUAUCCAUGGAUUUCGCAUCAAAUUAAGAUAUUACCCGCCUGUUUCACACAUCAUAUGAUUAAAAAGAAGCAAUUGGAUGGGAGUUGUUGUGUUGAUACUUUGAUAAGGUUAUGAAGUCCUUCGGCAACAAGUAGGACCUAGCAGAUCAGUCAUCUUUGCAAUCACAGAUUCACCAAUGCACGCACCAGCUCAGUAAUUCAUUAAUCUGAGGGCUAGUGCUGCGAGAUAAUACUGUUUGUGCCAUUUGUGAUUACGGUGGACAUGUUUUGUGAGAGUACUCUUGGUUUGUGUUUUACACUUACUAAGAUAGAGGUGUAGAACUGUUAGUGAUUGACGCAUAAAACGAUGGAGCGCUUGCAGAUAUUGUUUCUGGAGUUGUGAUCUCUGGGAGGCGUCAAAAUGCUUUUGUCUGGAGUCAGCCCUGGACUACCGAUAUAAUCUACAUGUGAAAAAAUGGGCUUGGUAGGCUGAUCUGACGAUGCAAGAGUUGGUAUGUGUUUGCUGCCGAGAGAUGGAAUCUGGGAUUGAAGUGAAUGGUGGUGGGUUUGGUGGGAAGGAUGCAAAAAUUAUGAUUUUUACAUACUAAUUCCCAAUGCAAAUUUAGCUUGCUUGAUCUUUGGUCUGGUUAGUUUGUUUUUUAUAUGAAAAUUGGAUCUUUAUCGAUUUCCUGAUUGGGUUCAAUUUAGCAGGAUUUUAAAGGUUUUAGCAUGUUUAUAGUUCUGUGUUUACUUGUGUAUAGAACAGCAACUCUGCUGGCAUUAUGUGUUUUCAGAAAAGCUGCGAUCAAUGUAUCUGGUUGUGCCAAGUGUUUAUCUGAUUGCUUAUCAACAAGUGACAAACCCAUUCUGGUUCCUUAUGGACUUGAAAAUGCACAUGCAUUAGAAUCAUUGAGAGCAGAAUCAUCAUUACUUUGCGGAACCAAAACCAGUUUAUGACUCCAUUUUGCGGAUGUUACUAGUUCGGUAAUUAAUCCAUCAGAAAGUGGAAGCACCUAAGCUUGAAUCUUCUAAUAGCUGUACUGCAAAUGGAAGGUAUGAUGAUUGCAGACAAACAGAUUUUACAAUAAAUGGUUUAAAUAUUGCAUUGGAGGCUUGAGAUGGAAUUUUCCCAGGGCCACAAGAUGGAGGACCAAAUGGUCUUCUGGAUGGAUUCAGAGAACCCUGCCUUUUCAAAUUUUACAAUAGCAGUGAUUAAAGACAGAUAUGACCCUGUGGCAACUGUAUAAUGAAGGACGUGUCUCAAAGAAAAAAGAUUCUUUGGUGUAGUUAUUACUACUGAUGCAUGGCUUUCAUCUUCUCUUUCAGAUGGUAUUUUGCUACUGUUAAAUGCUUCUCAUCUUCUGUUUCAGUAGAUAUCAUAUUGUCGAGAAAGCAAAGGGAUGCUAACAUAUUCGGGAUCUUGGUGUAGCUGGUUAUCUAUCUGAAUAUGAUAAUCAAAUGAAAGCAGUCACUGCUGGAGCAGGGAAGAAGAUGUAUACUCUUCUUUUGGGAAAGCCCCAAAUUGAGUAUUUUUGUCCAGACAUCCAAAACUGUUGCGGUGCUCAACUGCUUGAGAUGAUUACGGACAGGUUAUCUGACAAGAUUGCCUCAUUGUGGGCAGUUUGAUGUUUCUAUUUCCCAAACUGCAAUUUUGGAUAGCAAAGAUAUGUUUUCCCUAGUGGUUAAACCUUAUGAAGCCGUUCUGGCUUUCCAGAGUUCAAUGUUGAUGGAAGCCCGGAAGAAGCUCGUUUUUACUUCAUGAAGGGUUGUUAUGUUGAAUACUUUCAUCAGCAAUGUCUCUUCUAUCUACCCACUUAAAGAUGCACAUGAAUAUGUCUGGAGUUGGUUCCAAGUGC